UGGGGAAUAUUGCGCAAUGGGGGGAACCCUGACGCAGCCAUGCCGCGUGAACGAAGAAGGCCUUCGGGUUGUAAAGUUCUUUCGGUAUUGAGGAAGGUUGAUGUGUUAAUAGUACAUCAAAUUGACGUUAAAUACAGAAGAAGCACCGGCUAACUCCGUGCCAGCAGCCGCGGUAAUACGGAGGGUGCGAGCGUUAAUCGGAAUAACUGGGCGUAAAGGGCACGCAGGCGGUUAUUUAAGUGAGGUGUGAAAGCCCCGGGCUUAACCUGGGAAUUGCAUUUCAGACUGGGUAACUAGAGUACUUUAGGGAGGGGUAGAAUUCCACGUGUAGCGGUGAAAUGCGUAGAGAUGUGGAGGAAUACCGAAGGCGAAGGCAGCCCCUUGGGAAUGUACUGACGCUCAUGUGCGAAAGCGUGGGGAGCAAACAGGAUUAGAUACCCUGGUAGUCCACGCUGUAAACGCUGUCGAUUUGGGGGUUGGGGUUUAACUCUGGCGCCCGUAGCUAACGUGAUAAAUCGACCGCCUGGGGAGUACGGCCGCAAGGUUA
rnacentral:rRNA from 1 species